rnacentral:rRNA from 1 species
UACGUAGGGUGCGAGCGUUAAUCGGAAUUACUGGGCGUAAAGCGUGCGCAGGCGGUUCGCUAUGUCUGAUGUGAAAGCCCCGGGCUCAACCUGGGAACUGCAUUGGAAACUAGCGGGCUGGAGUGUGGCAGAGGGGGGUGGAAUUCCACGUGUAGCAGUGAAAUGCGUAGAGAUGUGGAGGAACACCGAUGGCGAAGGCAGCCCCCUGGGCUAACACUGACGCUGAGAUACGAAAGCGUGGGGAUCAAACAGG